rnacentral:rRNA from 1 species
CCUACGGGAGGCAGCAGUGGGGAAUAUUGCACAAUGGGGGAAACCCUGAUGCAGCGACGCCGCGUGAGUGAAGAAGUAAUUCGUUAUGUAAAGCUCUAUCAGCAGGGAAGAAAAUGACGGUACCUGAGUAAGAAGCCCCGGCUAACUACGUGCCAGCAGCCGCGGUAAUACGUAGGGGACAAGCGUUAUCCGGAUUUACUGGGUGUAAAGGGAGCGUAGGUGGCAGGGCAAGUCAGAUGUGAAAACCCGGGGCUCAACCCCGGGAGUGCAUUUGAAACUGUCCAGCUGGAGUGCAGGAGAGGUAAGCGGAAUUCCUAGUGUAGCGGUGAAAUGCAUAGAUAUUAGGAGGAACACCAGUGGCGAAGGCGGCUUACUGGACUGUAACUGACACUGAGGCUCGAAAGCGUGGGGAGCAAACAGGAUUAGAUACCCGUGUAGUC